GAUGAACGCUAGCUGGAGGCUUAAUACAUGCAAGUCGAGCGGGAUUGGUAGCAAUACCAUGAGAGCGGCGCACGGGUGAGUAACGCGUACACGACCUACCUCUGACAGGGGGAUAGCCCUGGGAAACUGGGAUUAAUACCGCAUAUUAUUCUGAUUAAUAAAGGAUUGGAAUGAAAGUUCAGGCGGUCAGAGAUGGGUGUGCGUCUGAUUAGCUAGUUGGUGGGGUAACGGCCUACCAAGGCGAUGAUCAAUAGGGGGCGUGAGAGCGUGGUCCCCCACACGGGUACUGAGACACGGACCCGACUCCUACGGGAGGCAGCAGUAAGGAAUAUUGGACGAUGGCCGCAAGGCUGAUCCAGCCAUCCAGCGUGCAGGAAGAAGGCCCUAUGGGUUGUAAACUGCUUUUAUCAGGGAAGAAACCUCUGGAUUUACUCCGGAGCUGACGGUACCUGAAGAAUAAGCACCGGCUAACUCCGUGCCAGCCGCCGCAGUAAAAC
rnacentral:rRNA from 1 species